rnacentral:rRNA from 1 species
GACGAACGCUGGCGGCGUGCUUAACACAUGCAAGUCGAACGGAAAGGCCCUGCUUUUGUGGGGUGCUCGAGUGGCGAACGGGUGAGUAACACGUGAGUAACCUGCCCUUGACUUUGGGAUAACUUCAGGAAACUGGGGCUAAUACCGGAUAGGAUCUCCUGCUGCAUGGUGGGGGUUGGAAAGUUUCGGCGGUUGGGGAUGGACUCGCGGCUUAUCCGCUUGUUGGUGGGGUAGUGGCUUACCAAGGCUUUGACGGGUAGCCGGCCUGAGAGGGUGACCGGCCACAUUGCGACUGAGAUACGGCCCAGACUCCUACGGGAGGCAGCAGUGGGGAAUAUUGCACAAUGGGCGGAAGCCUGAUGCAGCAACGCCGCGUGCGGGAUGACGGCCUUCGGGUUGUAAACCGCUUUCGCCUGUGACGAAGCGUGAGUGACGGUAAUGGGUAAAGAAGCACCGGCUAACUACGUG